rnacentral:tRNA from 1 species
GGAAGUGUGCCCGAAAGAUAAGGACCUCCUUAUAGGGAG